GUUAUUACAUUUUUUUACCUUUAGCAAUGCCUUUACAGUAGCGUAUCUAAGUACUUUUAGUUAUUUAAGUAGAUUAUUACAAAAAUACGUAUAUUUUCUUAUUUGCUGGCGUUUUUGAUUGUGAAAUUAGACUUAUCCUCAGUUAGACCUCAGGCAAAACCGAUCUACGUUUUAAGUCAAUUAUUUUAAGUAUUUGUCCAUUUCGCUGUUACAGUUGGUGGUAAAAAAUGCUCAGGGUUUUGGAACCCUUUACACUUUUACCCACACUUACCUAUACACCCACACACACACAAUUCACAGACGAGUACAUAUCUGGUGUUUUAAAUAGAGGAAAAUAAACCUUGGAAAAUUUUUCCUUUAGCGUUCCUAUAAAUACUGAGCUUAGACAAUGAUCGAUUUCACUCUUGAAUUUGAAAAAUCAAACUAACGUGUGUCCAAAUUUGUUCUGAUGAUUUUGAUAAGAGAAAUAUUAUGAUCGUCGAAUUAACUGAUCGAAGGCAAAUAAGACCAAAUUCUGAGCCUCAAAUAAAUAGUACCAUUUUUGCUGGGGCUUUAUCAUACAGGUUUUCUUCUAGUUUGUACCGCCACCCAAAAAAUGUUUUAGGUAAAUGAACCUCCAGACCAGCUGAGGGACUAGAGAAGGUCCUACCUAGUCCCGCGAUUGGCAGUUUGGCUGGCCCCUCAAAUUUGAUUUUGCCCAAAAUCAUACAAGAUAAACUAGCCCUUCUCAAGAAGCCCUUCCCUCAAAACAACAGAAACGGCAUUGGAAAAAGAAGUUGGAAUUAACCACAUAGUAAGACAAUCCUCAUCUUCUGAUCUCUCAAUAGUUGGAUAUUUAUUAUCUCAAGAAAGUCGUCAAAGUAUCAGAAAAAGAAAGAAGUAUGUUAAUGAGGCAUUAUAAUGAUAUUAUGUAGAAAUUUAAGUCUUGUAAAAAUUUGGAAA